AUUAGUGUGUGCCCUGGUAAGAUUCAUAUGUGCAGCCCUGGUAGUGGUUCUUAUUAUGUAACAUAGUGAGUCAGUAUAAGGGUAUUGGUGAGUAAGUUUAUGGCCCCAAGUGACUCAGUGUCGGUUUAACCCGUCCGCUUUGAUUGGCACAGAUUUGGCCUUCCCUGGUAGCCUGGUAACAUAUAGUCCCAGGUCGUUCUCUGCCUCUGUGGUGGAUAGUGGAGUGUUUCCCAUGUGGUAUUGGUGUGCUGGAUAUCCCUUCACUGGUAGCCUGGUAACAUACACUCCCAGGUCUUUCUCUGCCUCUGUGGUGGAUAGUGGAGUGUUUCCCAUGUGGUAUUGGUGUGCUGGAUAUCCCUUCACUGGUAGCCUGGUAACAUACACUCCCAGGUCUUUCUCUGCCUCUGUGGUGGAUAGUGGAGUGUUUCCCAUGUGGUAUUGGUGUGCUGGAUAUCCCUUCACUGGUAGCCUGGUAACAUACACUCCCAGGUCUUUCUCUGCCUCUGUGGUGGAUAGUGGAGUGUUUCCCAUGUGGUAUUGGUGUGCUGGAUAUCCCUUCACUGGUAGCCUGGUAACAUACACUCCCAGGUCUUUCUCUGCCUCUGUGGUGGAUAGUGGAGUGUUUCCCAUGUGGUAUUGGUGUGCUGGAUAUCCCUUCACUGGUAGCCUGGUAACAUACACUCCCAGGUCUUUCUCUGCCUCUGUGGUGGAUAGUGGUUUGUUUCCCAUGUGGUAUUGGUGUGCUGGAUAUCCCUUCACUGGUAGCCUGGUAACAUACACUCCCAGGUCUUUCUCUGCCUCUGUGGUGGAUAGUGGAGUGUUUCCACUGUGGUAUUGGUGUGCUGGAUAUCCCUUCACUGGUAGCCUGGUAACAUACACUCCCAGGUCUUUCUCUGCCUCUGUGGUGGAUAGUGGAGUGUUUCCCAUGUGGUAUUGGUGUGCUGGAUAUACCUUCACUGGUAGCCUGGUAACAUACACUCCCAGGUCUUUCUCUGCCUCUGUGAUGGAUAGUGGAGUGUUUUCCCAUGUGGUAUUGGUGUGCUGGAUAUCCCCUCCCAAGGUGCAGGACUUUAAAUUUUUCUUCAUUGAAUUGUAGCAGCCACUUUUUGCUCCAUUUCAGUAGCUUGGUGAUGUCUAACUGUAGGAAAUCCGCAUUCAAGGGGUUAAUUAACCUAGUAGCACAUUUAGCACGUGGUACAGGCCCCGCGGGAACGUAAAAAAUUAGUAACUAAAGUUUUUGCCCUUAGGCACAGAAGGCUGAGACAAAAUAAUUACUCAUUUUCCUAAUUUUUUGUAAUAUUAUUAUAUAUGAUAUUACUAUAUAUAACCCGGUAGCUGCGGGAUCAUGUUUCUUAAUGGUCCCUCUAAGCGAGAAAAAUGAAAAAAAAUCACCCCUUACACAAACCAUUCCAUAAUAUAUAUCAAAGCAUUUGUGAUCAGAUUAUGUAUCAUCUAUCUUGGGGGGUUUAUGUCACGGCACAAAUUUGGCCCGUCGCUGCUUCCGGGAUAAGAAAAUAUAGGAAACUUCACUAGGGCAUAGUAUAAUAAGCCUGGCAUUGUAGUACACCAUAUACGGCAUAUAGUCCAGGGCUUCCCAACUCAACUGGCGGCCCGCGGUCCAGAUCCGGACUUGUGGGUGUUGCAGCUGGACCCAAGGCUCCAGCAGACAUAAACAUGUGUAAAUUGAAUAGCAUGAAGGUCCUGGCGAUGGAUUCUCUUAACCCCUUGACUACGGAUUUCCUACAAGAAGACCUCACCAAGCUACAGGAGUGGAGCAAAAAGUGGCUGCUACAAUUCAAUGAAGAAAAAUGCAGUCCUGCACCUUGGGAGGGGAUAUCCAGCACACCAAUACCACCAUAUGGGAAACACUCCACUAUCCACCACAGAGGCAGAGAAAGACCUGGGAGUGUAUGUUACCAGGCUACCAGUGAAGGGAUAUCCAGCACACCAAUACCAUAUGGGAAACACUCCACUAUCCACCACAGAGCCAGAGAAAGACCUGGGAGUGUAUGUUACCAGGCUACCAGUGAAGGGAUAUCCAGCACACCAAUACCACAUGGGAAACACUCCACUAUCCACCACAGAGGCAGAGAAAGAC